UGCAAAAGGAAGUCGGAACUACAAAGGUUCCUAAUCAAUGAGGCGAAGGAGGUCGAUCAUGACAAGAAGGAACUGUACAACAAAGUUUCCGAGGAGGAAGGUACAAUGCCCAUGGAGAUCCAUGAAGUCCUAAACGUUCUGGAUGAUCUGGACACAUUCUUGGACAAAGAGUUGGAAGUGGCUUCAGAAGGAGAAACGAGAAGGAAGAGACAGAGAGAGCGUUGAGGCCAGAGGCUGGAGACAGGGAGGAGGAGGCCGAGCAGGAGGCCUGUUUCUGGAGUGCCACACAGAACACGGACAAGGAAGACCUGGACCAUCAGAACAUAAAUAAAACCCAAACCAGAAGCCAGACUUCUGUUGAACUUCA